rnacentral:rRNA from 1 species
CGAAUGCUGACAUAAGUAACGAUAAAGCGGGUGAAAAGCCCGCUCGCCGGAAGACCAAGGGUUCCUGUCCAACGUUAAUCGGGGCAGGGUGAGUCGACCCCUAAGGCGAGGCCGAAAGGCGUAGUCGAUGGGAAACAGGUUAAUAUUCCUGUACUUGGUGUUACUGCGAAGGGGGGACGGAGAAGGCUAUGUUGGCCGGGCGACGGUUGUCCCGGUUUAAGCGUGUAGGCUGGUUUUCCAGGCAAAUCCGGAAAAUCAAGGCUGAGGCGUGAUGACGAGGCACUACGGUGCUGAAGCAACAAAUGCCCUGCUUCCAGGAAAAGCCUCUAAGCAUCAGGUAACAUCAAAUCGUACCCCAAACCGACACAGGUGGUCAGGUAGAGAAUACCAAGGCGCUUGAGAGAACUCGGGUGAAGGAACUAGGCAAAAUGGUGCCGUAACUUCGGGAGAAGGCACGCUGAUAUGUAGGUGAAGUCCCUCGCGGAUGGAGCUGAAAUCAGUCGAAGAUACCAGCUGGCUGCAACUGUUUAUUAAAAACACAGCACUGUGCAAACACGAAAGUGGACGUAUACGGUGUGACGCCUGCCCGGUGCCGGAAGGUUAAUUGAUGGGGUCAGCGCAAGCGAAGCUCUUGAUCGAAGCCCCGGUAAACGGCGGCCGUAACUAUAACGGUCCUAAGGUAGCGAAAUUCCUUGUCGGGUAAGUUCCGACCUGCACGAAUGGCGUAAUGAUGGCCAGGCUGUCUCCACCCGAGACUCAGUGAAAUUGAACUCGCUGUGAAGAUGCAGUGUACCCGCGGCAAGACGGAAAGACCCCGUGAACCUUUACUAUAGCUUGACACUGAACAUUGAGCCUUGAUGUGUAGGAUAGGUGGGAGGCUUUGAAGUGUGGACGCCAGUCUGCAUGGAGCCGACCUUGAAAUACCACCCUUUAAUGUUUGAUGUUCUAACGUGGACCCGUGAUCCGGGUUGCGGACAGUGUCUGGUGGGUAGUUUGACUGGGGCGGUCUCCUCCUAAAGAGUAACGGAGGAGCACGAAGGUUGGCUAAUCCUGGUCGGACAUCAGGAGGUUAGUGCAAUGGCAUAAGCCAGCUUGACUGCGAGCGUGACGGCGCGAGCAGGUGCGAAAGCAGGUCAUAGUGAUCCGGUGGUUCUGAAUGGAAGGGCCAUCGCUCAACGGAUAAAAGGUACUCCGGGGAUAACAGGCUGAUACCGCCCAAGAGUUCAUAUCGACGGCGGUGUUUGGCACCUCGAUGUCGGCUCAUCACAUCCUGGGGCUGAAGUAGGUCCCAAGGGUAUGGCUGUUCGCCAUUUAAAGUGGUACGCGAGCUGGGUUUAGAACGUCGUGAGACAGUUCGGUCCCUAUCUGCCGUGGGCGCUGGAGAACUGAGGGGGGCUGCUCCUAGUACGAGAGGACCGGAGUGGACGCAUCACUGGUGUUCGGGUUGUCAUGCCAAUGGCACUGCCCGGUAGCUAAAUGCGGAAGAGAUAAGUGCUGAAAGCAUCUAAGCACGAAACUUGCCCCGAGAUGAGUUCUCCCUGACCCUUUAAGGGUCCUGAAGGAACGUUGAAGACGACGACGUUGAUAGGCCGGGUGUGUAAG